UACAGAGGGUGCAAGCGUUGCUCGGAUUUACUGGGCGUAAAGCGCACGUAGGCGGAUCUUUAAGUCAGGGGUGAAAUCCCGAGGCUCAACCUCGGAACUGCCUUUGAUACUGGGGAUCUCGAGUCCGGGAGAGGUGAGUGGAACUGCGAGUGUAGAGGUGAAAUUCGUAGAUAUUCGCAAGAACACCAGUGGCGAAGGCGGCUCACUGGCCCGGAACUGACGCUGAGGUGCGAAAGCGUGGGGAGCAAACAGG
rnacentral:rRNA from 1 species